rnacentral:rRNA from 1 species
GCAGUCGACGAUGNAGCCCAGCUUGCUGGGUGGAUUAGUGGCGAACGGGUGAGUAACACGUGAGUAACCUGCCCUUGACUCUGGGAUAAGCGCUGGAAACGGCGUCUAAUACCGGAUACGACCUGCCCCGGCAUCGGGUGCGGGUGGAAAAUUUUUCGAUCGAGGAUGGACUCGCGGCCUAUCAGCUUGUUGGUGAGGUAAUGGCUCACCAAGGCGACGACGGGUAGCCGGCCUGAGAGGGUGACCGGCCACACUGGGACUGAGACACGGCCCAGACUCCUACGGGAGGCAGCAGUGGGGAAUAUUGCACAAUGGGCGAAAGCCUGAUGCAGCAACGCCGCGUGGGGGAUGACGGCCUUCGGGUUGUAAACCUCUUUUAGUAGGGAAGAAGGACUUCGGUUUGACGGUACCUGCAGAAAAAGCACCGGCUAACUACGUGCCAGCAGCCGCGGUAAUACGUAGGGUGCAAGCGUUGUCCGGAAUUAUUGGGCGUAAAGAGCUCGUAGGCGGUUUGUCGCGUCUGCUGUGAAAACCCGAGGCUCAACCUCGGGCCUGCAGUGGGUACGGGCAGACUAGAGUGCGGUAGGGGAGAAUGGAAUUCCUGGUGUAGCGAUGGAAUGCGCAUAUAUCAUGAGGAACACCGAUGGCGAAAGCAGUUCUCUGGGCCGUUACUGACACUGAGGAGCGAAAGCGUGGGGAGCGAACAGGAUUAGAUACCCUGGUAGUCCACGCCGUAAACGUUGAGAACUAGAUGUGGGGACCUUUCCACGGUCUCCGUGUCGCAGCUAACGCAUUAAGUUCCCCGCCUGGGGAGUACGGCCGCAAGGCUAAAACUCAAAGGAAUUGACGGGGGCCCGCACAAGCGGCGGAGCAUGCGGAUUAAUUCGAUGCAACGCGAAGAACCUUACCAAGGCUUGACAUAUACCGGAAACUUCCAGAAAUGGUUGCCCCGCAAGGUCGGUAUACAGGUGGUGCAUGGUUGUCGUCAGCUCGUGUCGUGAGAUGUUGGGUUAAGUCCCGCAACGAGCGCAACCCUCGUUUUAUGUUGCCAGCACGUCAUGGUGGGAACUCAUAGGAGACUGCCGGGGUCAACUCGGAGGAAGGUGGGGAUGACGUCAAAUCAUCAUGCCCCCUAUGUCUUGGGCUUCACGCAUGCUACAAUGGCCGGUACAAAGGGCUGCGAUACCGUAAGGUGGAGCGAAUCCCAAAAAGCCGGUCUCAGUUCGGAUUGAGGUCUUCAACUCGACCUCAUGAAGUCGGAGUCGCUAGUAAUCUCAGAUCAGCAACGCUGCGGUGAAUACGUUCCCGGGCUUUGUACACACCGCCCGUCAAGUCAUGAAAGUCGGUGACACCCGCAGCCGGUGGCCUAACCCCUUGUCGGAGGGAGCCGUCGAAGGUGGAU